rnacentral:rRNA from 1 species
UACAGAGGGUGCGAGCGUUGUCCGGAAUCACUGGGCGUAAAGGGCGCGUAGGUGGCCUGGUAAGUAGGGGGUGAAAUCUCGAGGCUCAACUUCGAGGCUGCCUCCUAAACUGUCAGGCUUGAGCAGAGUAGAGGCAGGUGGAAUUCCCGGUGUAGCGGUGGAAUGCGUAGAGAUCGAGAGGAACACCUGCGGCGAAGGCGGGUUGCUGGGCUGACACUGACGCUGAGGCGCGAAAGCUAGGGGAGCGAACGGG